CCUACGGGAGGCAGCAGUGGGGAAUAUUGGACAAUGGGCGAAAGCCUGAUCCAGCAAUGCCGCGUGAGUGAUGAAGGCCUUAGGGUUGUAAAGCUCUUUUACUGGGAUACAGUACCCAGAGAAUAAGCCCGGCUAACUCCGUGCCAGCAGCCGCGGUAAUACGGAGGGGCUAGCGUUGUUCGGAAUUACUGGGCGUAAAGCGCACGUAGGCGGCUCAGCAAGUCAGGGGUGAAAUCCCGGGGCUCAACCCCGGAACUGCCCUUGAAACUGCUAAGCUAGAAUCUUGGAGAGGCGAGUGGAAUUCCGAGUGUAGAGGUGAAAUUCGUAGAUAUUCGGAAGAACACCAGUGGCGAAGGCGACUCGCUGGACAGAUUGACGCUGAGGUGCGAAAGCGUGGGGAGCAAACAGGAUUAGAUACCCUUGUAGUC
rnacentral:rRNA from 1 species